rnacentral:rRNA from 1 species
AACGCGAAGAACCUUACCAGGGCUUGACAUGCACCGGAAAGCGGCGGAAACGUCGUCUUCCCGCAAGGGACCGGUGUGCAGGUGUUGCAUGGCUGUCGUCAGCUCGUGUCGUGAGAUGUUGGGUUAAGUCCCGCAACGAGCGCAACCCACGUGGCAUGUUGUAUCUCUCAUGCCAGACUGCCGAGAGAAACUCGGAGGAAGGUGGGGAUGACGCCAAGUCAGCAUGGCCCUUACGCCCUGGGCUACACACACGCUACAAUGGCCGGUACAACGGGUUGCCAAACCGCGAGGUGGAGCUAAUCGGAGAAAGUCUGUCUCAGUUCGGAUAGCAGGCUGCAACUCGCCUGCUUGAAGUUGGAAUCGCUAGUAAUCGCGGAUCAGCACGCCGCGGUGAAUACGUUCCCGGGCCUUGUACACACCG